rnacentral:lncRNA from 1 species
CUGCAGCCGGAAUGGUUACAGCUGCAACGUAAGGUUGCUGAUGGUAAUUCUGAAAGUUAUUCUUGUGGUUACCCCUGCUCUGAUGAGAAGACACAGCAUUUGCAUCCUCUUCUCUCCUCUUUUGUCCUCCUAAGAACGACUUCUUUGACCCCGAAGAUGAUCCAACCCCAUUUUGGAUCUUACAUGUCUUCAAGUAGUUCUCCACCCUCUCACCGAUAGAGACCGCAUCAGCAAAAUUCGACGCGUUGCAACCCACCAGACGCUCCAAAU